CAUUUGACUGUGGCCAUACUGGAGUACCACCUUUAGUCAACCAAAUCGACCCCAGGAUUUAUUCUUUGAGAUGGUUAUGUGAAUCAGGACGAAUUCUUUGAUCAAUACAUGAAACUGUCUUUAGAGUAUGAUGAUACCUUGGUAACCAAUUCAACGACUAUAAUUAUUGAGGAAUAAUCUAUAUGUAGUUGAAAUACAGCUGGAAGAGUCCAUUACUACACAUUGUGUCUUCCAUAAAUAAAUAAAUGCUCAAUCUA